rnacentral:rRNA from 1 species
CUGUCGUCAGCUCGUGUCGUGAGAUGUUGGGUUAAGUCCCGCAACGAGCGCAACCCUUGUCGUUAGUUACUACCAUUAAGUUGAGGACUCUAGCGAGACUGCCUGGGUUAACCAGGAGGAAGGUGGGGAUGACGUCAAAUCAUCAUGCCCCUUAUGUGUAGGGCUACACACGUGCUACAAUGGCUGGUACAGAGAGAUGCAAUACCGCGAGGUGGAGCCAAACUUAAAAACCAGUCUCAGUUCGGAUUGUAGGCUGAAACUCGCCUACAUGAAGCUGGAGUUACUAGUAAUCGCGAAUCAGAAUGUCGCGGUGAAUACGU